UAGGGAAUCUUCGGCAAUGGGGGCAACCCUGACCGAGCAACGCCGCGUGAGUGAAGAAGGUUUUCGGAUCGUAAAGCUCUGUUGUAAGAGAAGAACGUGUGUGAGAGUGGAAAGUUCACACAGUGACGGUAACUUACCAGAAAGGGACGGCUAACUACGUGCCAGCAGCCGCGGUAAUACGUAGGUCCCGAGCGUUGUCCGGAUUUAUUGGGCGUAAAGCGAGCGCAGGCGGUUUAAUAAGUCUGAAGUUAAAGGCAGUGGCUUAACCAUUGUUCGCUUUGUAAACUGUUAAACUUGAGUGCAGAAGGGGAGAGUGGAAUUCCAUGUGUAGCGGUGAAAUGCGUAGAUAUAUGGAGGAACACCGGUGGCUAAAGCGGCUCUCUGGUCUGUAACUGACGCUGAGGCUCGAAAGCGUGGGGAGCAAACAGG
rnacentral:rRNA from 1 species